rnacentral:rRNA from 1 species
CGCGCAGGCGGCCAGGUAAGUCAGAUGUGAAAGCCCGGGGCUUAACCCCGGAAGUGCAUUUGAAACUACCUGGCUUGAGUAUGGGAGAGGGAAGUGGAAUUCCUGGUGUAGAGGUGAAAUUCGUAGAUAUCAGGAGGAACACCGGUGGCGAAGGCGACUUCCUGGACCAAUACUGACGCUGAGGCGCGAAGGCGUGGGGAGCAAACA